UAUUUGAAGAAUUAAAAUUAUUUCUUCCACUUUAACUUGAAAUCCCAUUCUCAGGUUUAUUAUUUCCAACAAUGAAUUCCUAUUUCUUCACUAGGCAUUUCUUAUGUUUUUUUUUUUCUUUUGCAGCAUCUAGCUCAGUGCAUGGCUCAUAUCUGUUCAGUGAAUAAAUAAAAGGGAUGUCUCCUGUGUGUAUGGCAAUGGUCACUCAUUCAAAGUCGGACAGGUAACACAUGAGUGAGGCAGAGGGUGGAGACUUGGCAAACUGGAGAACAAGGUAGGUCCUGUUAAAGGGGAAGCAGCACCUGCUCAGCCACAGCAGAUUGUGGCCAUCUGGGGAGUUGGAGUCUUGUGUUGCCAGGUUUUCUGGGUUUUCAAGAGAAGAAAACUGGAUUCUUUUGUGGGAUCUUCAGUAUUUUAGCACCAGAAACUUUUUCAUUUGGUUUGUUUGGGUUUUUUUGUAAGUGCUUUGGCCCACACAGACUCCCUAUUAUUUCACACUGGAAGGCUGCCAAGUUGAAACUUGACAUUUAGAUAAGAGGUUGAAGAGAUCUUAGAGCUCAUUCCUGUCAAGCCCCUUCGUUUUACAGAUGGUUUCUGAGGCUGAAAGAAGAGAAGUGACUUGCUCAAAGUCUCAGUUACUUGAUGGCAAAACAAGGCUAAAAGUUGAUUUUCCUGGUCUGUAACCCAGCACUUUAUUAUCCUUAACUAGAACACCUCCUUUAUGAUGGCCUUCUUCACAAGUUCUAGAUGGCAAAUCCUCCAGUAUAGUGUAUGUUGUGUGCAUGUGCACUUGUGUGCAUGUGCAUGUGUGUGACUGAGUUCUGUGGACCUGGAGAUUCAUUCUAAUCAAAAGAUAUCUAUCAGGAGCAAUGUGACUCAUUUGACUGCCUCUGAAACCAUCUUCCUUGAAUUCUCAGAAACAUAAAGUAGCUGUAUACAUAGGAUCUCACUUAUUACUUGUUAGACUCUUUUUAAUCACAGAAGCUUGAAAAUUUGACAAGAGCAUUGAAUGGAUUAUUGUACGAGAGUAGUGGGAUUUCUUCUAGAAAACCAUGUGUGUAUUGAUGUUUAUAGAAGCAGCUAACUUAUGGAAGCUUGUAUCUGAGCUAUAAGCUCAGCUUGCAGAGAGUAAUUUUGUUUUCUAUAAUUUAUAAUUUCUUAUGUAAUAUAACUUGCCUAUUUGCUUUGGCUCCAAUGACAGGUAUUAUUCCUACUUCACUUGGAAGUUCCCUAUUAUUCACCUUAUUAAAGACAAAUGCAUCAACUUGGCAGUGAAGUCUGUCAAUAACAUGAUCCCAACUACUUCUCCAGCUUCCUCUGCUGCUUUUCUUACCACGUGUACACAACACUGCAAGUGCACUGUAUGACUACUGUUCCCUCAGCACUCCCUGAAAUUUCCUGGUUUACUGCCUGCUUUUUAUCUCAUCCUUUAGAAAUUGUAACUAUCCAAAGGCCCAUUGUACAUGCUACCUUCUUCCUGAAACUUUGCUGUUUUGCCCCCUCCUUCAGCUCUCAUGGGGCUUUGCUUAUAUUUGUUCUAUAAUCUUCUCUUAAUUUGCCUUUCUAGGAGAGUAACUUAUACACCUGUCUAUUCUUUCUUCCGCAUCCCUUCCCACUUCCAAAUGCAAGCUCCUAGAGGAUACAGGUAAGCACCUUGUGUAUGCACAGUGAGAUAGCACACGCCUGUCCCAGGGAAAGAAGACAGCAAGAAUUCCCUUUGGUUAAGUGGAGCAGCUGAGCAUCCAUACUUGGUUGUGAAUUUGACCAGGAUGUUCUCUUAACUCUACAUUACUUUCUACCAUUUCCACUGGGGAAAGAAGAUGUGUGUCCUUAAAGCUUCUUUGUUGGCACCUGUCAGUGUCAAGGAAGGAUCUGAGUCUUUGCCUGCCGAGACAGCCCUGAAGAACUCCUGUAAUGUCAAGCUUGCUAUUUCCAAGAAGCAGUCUGGGGCCUGCAUUCCCAAAGAGACCCACAAAGAAGAAAAGACGUGAAGCUAUGAAGUCCUGGCACCAUACAGACUUCACUGCCUGAUGCUGCCUGUUCCUUGGGUGGUGGGCUGAUAAGAGCAUCCCUGCUCUGCUGGCCCCUGAUUUUUACAGCCCCAGGAAUCCUUUGCUCCUUCAUCAAAUACAAACCUUAAAAUGAUGGUACUGAUGAGAUAGCCAUGAAAGAAAGCAUAUUAGGGACACUGCCUUUGUAGAAGUAGCUGAUUCCACUAAUGGGUGAUGGUUUUAGUAAGUGGGAAACUCUGACUCUGACUGAAAUGAGAUCUGUGUUCAAAAGAGGUUUUUAGUAUUCUUUUCCUCAGUGCCUAAGGUGGAAAGGACUGCCCUCAAUCUUACCACUGUCAUACCUCAUUGCACCAUCUUUUGGGGCUGAAUUUGAAAGACUUGGAAUCAUUCCUGCUUCCAGAGCCCCAGGACCUCACCCAAACUAGCACCAUUAACAACAGGACAUCCCACAGGGCUUCCAGAUCCAGCCUGGCCCGGGGUUUGCCACCACUGCAUGCUAAAUGACCACCCCAACCUGGAAAGAUGUGGGAGCACUGCCCCCCACCCACAAGCCUUGAUCCCCAAGAGCCUCACAAAGGAGGCAUGGUCCAUUUUCCCUGCAGGUAGGCUUAGGUUUCCAAACAUACUCUGAUGGAGCAUCUGAUCAGUGGAUGCCGACAGUUCUUCCCUCUCUUGGAGGUAUCAAUACACUGCUGUUUGUGAUCACAGUCAAGUGAGAAAGGCGAGAAGAGGGAAGUGUAGUCAGUGACCAGACUCACCUAGCACCCACAGAAGAAGAUGCCAGCCUAACAGCUGUCAGCCACACACAGGAGAUUACAGCUUCUCACCAACGAAAUUAAGCCACUUGCUCACCCUCUACUGAUGCUUUACCUCUAAGGUGCCACCAGUGUGCCUUCAUAGAGAUCCCCAAAGGACCGAGAAACUUGUGUAUUGUCUGUUAUUUCCAGAAAGGAUUUGAGAUGACUCGCCAUGGAGGGCCCACAGAUAAAACCGGUGGGGAGAAUAAAGAUAAGAACCAACUGAUGGAAAGAACAGAAAUGGUUGUAGAGAAAACCUAGGCCAAGACUAGGUGCUGCAGCUGAGCCCAGCACUUAGUCCUGGGCCUCCUGGCACUAAGGCGAAAAUAUCAAAGCUACGUAACCAUUGCAGAGUAUUGUCGAAAUGGCAUAGCACCUGACCUCUGGCUACAUUUCUGAAUAAAGAGUGGGUGUAUACUCAGUUUGUGGCAUCCACCUGUUGCCUGAGAGAUGUGGUGGCUGUAAUCUUCAUGGGUGGUACAGAGAUUAGCCCUAGGCUGCCCUGGCUCUCAGUGAUGUAAGGACAGACAUGGAAGGGGAUCUUUUCUAAAACUCCGAUCACCAAGGGAAGGCACUCAUCAGAACCCAUGGGGCCCAAGUACAUGGUCUUACCUCAAAGUCAUUCCCCUUGUUAUAGUGCAUAUUGAGAGUUCGAAAAAGUUCUGAGUCGCGGAGAACCACCAGCAUUUUGGGAUUUGUGACACCAUCUGAAAUUGCUUGCCGGGCAAAUUUCUCCAUUUGGAUAUAGAAAAACUCACGAAAGUUGCUGAACCACUUGAUCAUCUGGGAGGUAAUGCAGCGGUUGAACUGUACAAACAACAGGGUCCAUGAAGUCAGACAUUUGCCAUGAGGUGCUCAGAGUCAGAACUAUGAGCUUCCAGUUCAACACAGGGAUUAACAAGAAUGGCUUCUGUCGACAUUAAACAGGGCUUCCUUUAAAAAAGAAGCCACAGCUAUUUUCCAAACCUUUUCAGUUAUACACAGAAAAAUCUGAAUUAACCAAAAUGCCCAUUAAAAAAUAAAUGUUUUUUAUAGCCUAGAUUUAUGAAGAUUUUUCACACAGGCAGCAUCUCAGCCUGGAGCCAGAGAUGCCACUGCUUCCAUCCACAUGAAGGGGAGCUACAGUGCACACAUUCUGACCUAGGCCUUGCCUCACAUGGGAAGAACCUGCUGCCACUAGGGAGUUUUGCAGAGGCUGAAACUCAGUUGAAGGACUUUACCUGAACAUCUGGGAA